GAUGAAGAACGUAGUGAAAUGCGAUAAGUAGUGUGAAUUGCAGAAUUCAGUGAAUCAUCGAAUCUUUGAACGCACAUUGCGCCCCUCGGUAUUCCGUGGGGCAUGCCUGUUCGAGCGUCAUCUACACCCUCAAGCUCUGCUUGGUGUUGGGCGUCUGUCCCGCCUCCGCGCGUGGACUCGCCCCAAAUUCAUUGGCAGCGGUCCUUGCCUCCUCUCGCGCAGCACAUUGCGCUUCUCGAGGGGCUACGGCUCGCGUCCAACAAGCACAUUUACCGUCUUUGACCUCGGAUCAGGUAGGGAUACCCGCUGAACUUAAGCAUAUCAAUAAGCGGAGGA
rnacentral:misc_RNA from 1 species